rnacentral:misc_RNA from 1 species
AGGUGAACCUGCGGAAGGAUCAUUAAUGAAUUUAGAUUGAACCAUAGGCGAAAGCCAGUGGUUCUUCUUUCAUAUCCAUAACACCUGUGCACUGUUGGAUGCUUGCACCCACUUUUAAACUAAACAUUAUUGUAACAAAUGUAGUCUUAUUAUAACAUAAUAAAACUUUCAACAACGGAUCUCUUGGCUCUCG